rnacentral:rRNA from 1 species
UUCCGGAUCCGUUCGACAGAGUUUGAUCGUGGCUCAGAUUGAACGCUGGCGGCAGGCCUAACACAUGCAAGUCGAGCGGUAGCACAGAGAGCUUGCUCUCGGGUGACGAGCGGCGGACGGGUGAGUAAUGUCUGGGAAACUGCCUGAUGGAGGGGGAUAACUACUGGAAACGGUAGCUAAUACCGCAUAANGUCGCAAGACCAAAGUGGGGGACCUUCGGGCCUCAUGCCAUCAGAUGUGCCCAGAUGGGAUUAGCUAGUAGGUGGGGUAACGGCUCACCUAGGCGACGAUCCCUAGCUGGUCUGAGAGGAUGACCAGCCACACUGGAACUGAGACACGGUCCAGACUCCUACGGGAGGCAGCAGUGGGGAAUAUUGCACAAUGGGCGCAAGCCUGAUGCAGCCAUGCCGCGUGUAUGAAGAAGGCCUUCGGGUUGUAAAGUACUUUCAGCGGGGAGGAAGGCGAUAAGGUUAAUAACCUNGUCGAUUGACNUACCCGCAGAAGAGNCC